GGGGUGCAGCAGGCGCGAAACCUCCGCAAUGUGAGAAAUCGCGACGGGGGGAUCCCAAGUGCCAUUCUUAACGGGAUGGCUUUUCAUUAGUGUAAAGAGCUUUUGGAAUAAGGGCUGGGCAAGACCGGUGCCAGCCGCCGCGGUAACACCGGCAGCUCUAGUGGUAGCAGUUUUUAUUGGGCCUAAAGCGUCCGUAGCCGGUUUAAUAAGUCUCUGGUGAAAUCCUGUAGCUUAACUGUGGGAAUUGCUGGAGAUACUAUUAGACUUGAGACCGGGAGAGGUUAGAGGUACUCCCAGGGUAGAGGUGAAGUUCUGUAAUCCUGGGAGGACCGCCUGUUGCGAAGGCGUCUAACUGGAACGGUUCUGACGGUGAGGGACGAAAGUUAGGGGCGCGAACCGGAUUAGAUACCCGGGUAGUCCUAACCGUAAACGAUGCGGACUUGGUGUUGGGGUGGCUUUGAGCUGCUCCAGUGCCGAAGGGAAGCUGUUAAGUCCGCCGCCUGGGAAGUACGGUCGCAAGACUGAAACUUAA
rnacentral:rRNA from 1 species